rnacentral:rRNA from 1 species
GUGCCAGCCGCCGCGGUAAUACGGAGGGUGCAAGCGUUAUCCGGAUUUACUGGGUUUAAAGGGUGUGUAGGCGGGCUUUUAAGUCAGUGGUGAAAUCUCCGGGCUCAACCUGGAAACUGCCAUUGAUACUAUUAGUCUUGAAUUUUGUUGAGGUGGGCAGAAUAUGUCAUGUAGCGGUGAAAUGCAUAGAUAUGACAUAGAAUACCAAUUGCGAAGGCAGCUCGCUAAACAAAUAUUGACGCUGAGGCACGAAAGCGUGGGGAUCAAACAGGAUUAGAUACCCGCGUAGUCC